rnacentral:rRNA from 1 species
GUGUCAGCAGCCGCGGUAACCCCAGCGCCACAAGUGGGAGCCACAUUUAUUGGGCCUAAAGCGUUCGUAGCCGGUCUGGUAAAUCUUUUGUGAAAUCAUAAGGCUUAACCUUAUGGAUUGCGAGAGAGACUGCCAGACUUGGAACCGGGAGGAGUCAGAGGUAUUCCGGGGGGAGCGGUAAAAUGUUAUAAUCCCCGGAGGACCACCUGUGGCGAAGGCGUCUGACUAGAACGGAUUCGACGGUGAGGAACGAAAGCCAGGGGAGCGAACCGGAUUAGAUACCCGAGUAGUCCUGGCUGUAAACUCUGCGAGCUAGGUGUUGCGUGUUCUUCGAGAGCACGUAGUGUCGGAGCGAAGGCGUUAAGCUCGCCGCCUGGGAAGUAUGGUCGCAAGGCUGAA